UACGGGGGGGGGCAAGCUUGUUCGGAAUUACUGGGCGUAAAGGGCUCGUAGGCGGCCAACUAAGUCAGACGUGAAAUCCCUCGGCUUAACCGGGGAACUGCGUCUGAUACUGGAUGGCUUGAGUUUGGGAGAGGGAUGCGGAAUUCCAGGUGUAGCGGUGAAAUGCGUAGAUAUCUGGAGGAACACCUGCGGUGUAGACGGCUUUCUGGACCAUUGCUGACGCUGAGACACGAAAGCGUGGGUAGCAAACAGG
rnacentral:rRNA from 1 species